rnacentral:lncRNA from 1 species
GUCACAUGAUGGACAUGAUAUAAUGAAACAACAUUGUGGAGAGGAAAGCAUUAGGGGAGCCCACGGCUACAAAAACAAGUGAGUGAGAAGAGGUGGGAGGAAGAGAAACUACGCCACCUCCCCUGCAGCCGAGUGCACGCAGCAGCCUGGCGUGACAAGUGGGCGACGCCGGGGGGCAGGGAGCCGGGGUCCUUGGCCCUGGCCGGGGACCCCACCGCCCACCGCGCGGAGGACAACUUUUAGCCGGCAGCCCAGACCAGCGCGGCACCUGUCUCCGGAGUCUCCACCGCUCCUCCCGAUUCAUCCCAGGGAAAUUCUCAAGAAUACGCUCUACAAAUCUACGUGCGCAUCAUUUUCACCUCGCGUCGCGCCCGGGAGGAAGGAACGAGGCAAGGAGCUAAAGCAGCGUGCGUUCAGCCCUGGGGAGAAAAAUCAAGACGUUCCCUUCAGUCCUCCCUCGGUGUUAACGUCUGCUCCAGCUCGCAGCCCGCUGCUGGGCAUUUUAUUAAUGCUUUUACGAGUUAGAAGAGUUGGGAUAAUUUGCCAUCUGGAGUUUCUCUGCCUUGCUGAUCUGAGCUCAGACCUGCCAAUUUACCAGAGAUAAUUGAUAACACCCUGUAACAGCUGAGAGGAAAAUGGAAGAAACGGAGAUACUUUUAGUGAAGCAGAAUAAACCACUGAACAGGAAAAAUGAGGAAGCUGUGAGUACCAGUGGAAGGAACGAGCCAGGAAGAGGGACUGGAACCAUCUCAGAAGCCAUGCCCCUCAGGCUGGAACUUGCCCUGUCUCCUCGCAGAUGAGGUGCAGGUCUUCUGAACAAAUGCCUCCUGAGGAUUUCUGUGCCUGGAAAAUAUCUGUUAACAGACUGCUUUUACACCUACCUACCAUACUGGGAACUGCCCAAUGGAGAGGCCCACAUUCCACAAGGAACUGAUGUCUUCAGCCAAUACCUCGCCAGGACCUGAGGCCUGCUGAGAGUCACGAGUGGCCUUCGUGGGUCCUCUCUCAACGAGCUUGCAGGUGACCACUGCGCCAGCCAAAACCUUGAUGGCAGCCUAUGAGUGAGUGACCCUGAGCCAGAAGACCCAGUUAAGCCAUGCCCAGGAUCCUGACCUGCAGAAACUAUGACAUAAUAAAUUUAUUGUUUUAUGCCACUAACUUUUGGGGUUACUUAUGCAGCAAUAGAUAGCUAAUACAGCUCAUAGUAUCCUUAUCUAGCCUCAAACAUUCUGCCUUUAGUAUCUAACUUUCCUAACUUUUUAGAUAAACUUUUU